rnacentral:rRNA from 1 species
GUGGGGAAUCUUGCGCAAUGGGCGAAAGCCUGAUCCAGCCAUGCCGCGUGUGUGAAGAAGGUCUUCGGAUUGUAAAGCACUUUAAGUUGGGAGGAAGGGUAGUAACCUAAUACGUUGCUACUUUGACGUUACCGACAGAAUAAGCACCGGCUAACUUCGUGCCAGCAGCCGCGGUAAUACGAAGGGUGCAAGCGUUAAUCGGAAUUACUGGGCGUAGAGCGCGCGUAGGUGGUUCAGUAAGUUGGAAGUGAAAUCCCCGGGCUCAACCUGGGAACUGCUUUCAAAACUGCUGAGCUAGAGUACGGUAGAGGGUGGUGGAAUUUCCUGUGUAGCGGUGAAAUGCGUAGAUAUAGGAAGGAACACCAGUGGCGAAGGCGACCACCUGGACUGAUACUGACACUGAGGUGCGAAAGCGUGGGGAGCAAACAGGAUUAGAAACCCUAGUAGUCC